AUGAAGCCUGCCCCAGGAUUGAAGACACCUGGCACCUAAUCACCUGAGUGGGUGUGAGUAUAAAGGCAGACUCCCUCGCAUUCUCUUUUCAUGCCUGCAUUUGGUCACUUCAGUGGAAUGUCUGCUGGUUAACUUGCAGUGGUCAAACUCAAUCCGGAAAUAAAGCUGCCUGAAGCCUCCUGUUGAUACUGGGAUGUGGCAGUAAUUUACCCUUCCUAGUACAAUUUGGCAACAUCAAAAAGGCUUGUAUUGACAAGUGGAUCCUCCUGCUGUGGGUCCGGAAGGGGCUCUCUGGUUGAAGUGGCGUUAUCCAGCCCUGGUAGGUGACCAUAGUUUCCUCUGCCUUGUGCCAUGUUCCUAAAAACCACCUAUUAACCCAAUUUAAUUUCAGGUCUAGAGCUGCUGCAGCCUGCUGGAAGCCCUGCUGCUUUGUUUUUGCUUUGUUUUUGCUUUGUUUUUGCUUUGUUUUUGCUUUGUUUUUGCUUUGUUUUUGCUUCCAGCUUGGCUGAGUGUGACUGCUGUGGUUUUUUUUGACCAUAUAAUCGAACUGCUGAUUUUAAUAACUGGAUGUAUCAGCAUGCAACCUCAUUUUAGCACCCAUGUGUAAAUUGUAGUGUCUUUUCUUUGUUUUGUAUUUGGUUUGUGUAACCCCACCCUUUUGUUUCCAGGCUGGGAGCUGAAGGCAGUGGGGGGGCAUCCAGAGGGACUGGACAAGUGUGCUGUGCGAGUGACCGGUGUCGGGAUUUCUUCACGGAUUGAGUGGUUAUUCACAAGUGCUUGGGGUGAUAUAUUAAUUUG